CAGGGUGGUGCUAGAGAAGGGGACAGAAGGAGAGAGGCAGGGGCUCCUCUCAGCCCAACCCCUUCUGGUAAACAGUUGGGUUGUCUUCUCAGGAAGCUCCUCUAUUACUUCUCCUUGCCUGUGACUCAUUCAGGAGGAUAAGCUCCCCAGGAAAGAAGGCAUGCUGUGGGUUCUGGCCCUACUUCUAGCCAUCCUGCCUCCUGGAAGUCACACAUCUUCCAGUUUGGAGAGAAGAAUGAUGUUAGUCACAAAUUCACCUGGAUCACAUGUGCCAAUCACUUGUGAUUUACGUGAAACAAAUAAAUUCAUCAACUGGUACCAAUUCAAGGAAGGCAAGGUCCCAAGAUACCUUCUCUACUAUAAUUUUUUAAAUUGCAAGGUUGUGGUGGACUCAGGAAUCAUUUCAGGGAAAUAUGAUGCUUAUAAAGGCCCAGAUGGGAAAUGUAAAUUAGAAGUACGAAAUGUGGAGGAAAGUGACUCUGCUGUGUAUUACUGUGCCUACUGGACUGGCACAGUGGUUCAGACCUGCCUUUAUCUGUACUCAAAAUGUUGCUUUGUCUGCUCCUGGUACAUAGAUAGGGAUCAGCCCUCAUCCCAUUUCCUGCCCCUGACCUCACUGUACUCUGAACAAAGGGAAACCAUGAGCCCAAACCUAACAACCACUCUGUAUUAUCCCACUCUCCUCUAAGAGUUAUUUCCUGCCUCCAUUUGCACCCUACGACCAAACUCCCUUACUGCUAUCUCUCAUCCUUGGCCAAGC